rnacentral:rRNA from 1 species
AUUGAACGCUGGCGGCAUGCCUUACACAUGCAAGUCGAACGGCAGCACGGGUGCUUGCACCUGGUGGCGAGUGGCGAACGGGUGAGUAAUACAUCGGAACAUGUCCUGUAGUGGGGGAUAGCCCGGCGAAAGCCGGAUUAAUACCGCAUACGAUCUACGGAUGAAAGCGGGGGACCUUCGGGCCUCGCGCUAUAGGGUUGGCCGAUGGCUGAUUAGCUAGUUGGUGGGGUAAAGGCCUACCAAGGCGACGAUCAGUAGCUGGUCUGAGAGGACGACCAGCCACACUGGGACUGAGACACGGCCCAGACUCCUACGGGAGGCAGCAGUGGGGAAUUUUGGACAAUGGGCGAAAGCCUGAUCCAGCAAUGCCGCGUGUGUGAAGAAGGCCUUCGGGUUGUAAAGCACUUUUGUCCGGAAAGAAAUCCUUGGCCCUAAUACGGUCGGGGGAUGACGGUACCGGAAGAAGAAGCACCGGCUAACUACGU